GAGGGCAAUCUGUGUGUGACACCUACCACCCCAUUGCUCCCCUGCUUGGAUUCAACUGAUCUGGUCGGCUAGGUGGGUGUCUUCUUCUUCUCCUUC
rnacentral:snRNA from 1 species